rnacentral:tRNA from 1 species
GACCACGUAGCUCAGUUGGCAGAGCAUUGGGCUAGCAUUCCAAAGGUCGUAGGUUCGAUUCCCACCGUGGUCA